rnacentral:rRNA from 1 species
UGAAAGGCCAAUCAAACCGGGAGAUAGCUGGUUCUCCCCGAAAGCUAUUUAGGUAGCGCCUCGUGAAUUCAUCUCCGGGGGUAGAGCACUGUUUCGGCAAGGGGGUCAUCCCGACUUACCAACCCGAUGCAAACUGCGAAUACCGGAGAAUGUUAUCACGGGAGACACACGGCGGGUGCUAACGUCCGUCGUGAAGAGGGAAACAACCCAGACCGCCAGCUAAGGUCCCAAAGUCAUGGUUAAGUGGGAAACGAUGUGGGAAGGCCCAGACAGCCAGGAUGUUGGCUUAGAAGCAGCCAUCAUUUAAAGAAAGCGUAAUAGCUCACUGGUCGAGUCGGCCUGCGCGGAAGAUGUAACGGGGCUAAACCAUGCACCGAAGCUGCGGCAGCGACGCUUAUGCGUUGUUGGGUAGGGGAGCGUUCUGUAAGCCUGUGAAGGUGUGCUGUGAGGCAUGCUGGAGGUAUCAGAAGUGCGAAUGCUGACAUAAGUAACGAUAAAGCGG